rnacentral:rRNA from 1 species
CUUGCAGGGAGCGGCAGACGGGUGAGUAACGCGUGGGAAUCUACCCAGCUCUACGGAAUAACACAGGGAAACUUGUGCUAAUACCGUAUACGUCCUCCGGGAGAAAGAUUUAUCGGAGUUGGAUGAGCCCGCGUUAGAUUAGCUAGUUGGUGGGGUAAUGGCCUACCAAGGCGACGAUCUAUAGCUGGUCUGAGAGGAUGAUCAGCCACACUGGGACUGAGACACGGCCCAGACUCCUACGGGAGGCAGCAGUGGGGAAUAUUGGACAAUGGGCGCAAGCCUGAUCCAGCCAUGCCGCGUGAGUGAUGAAGGCCUUAGGGUUGUAAAGCUCUUUCAACGGUGAAGAUAAUGACGGUAGCCGUAGAAGAAGCCCCGGCUAACUUCGUGCCAGCAGCCGCGGUAAUACGAAGGGGGCUAGCGUUGUUCGGAAUUACUGGGCGUAAAGCGCGCGUAGGCGGACUGAUCAGUUGGGGGUGAAAUCCCGGGGCUCAACCCCGGAACUGCCUUCAAUACUGUCAGUCUAGAGGUCGAGAGAGGUGAGUGGAAUUCCGAGUGUAGAGGUGAAAUUCGUAGAUAUUCGGAGGAACACCAGUGGCGAAGGCGGCUCACUGGCUCGAUACUGACGCUGAGGUGCGAAAGUGUGGGGAGCAAACAGGAUUAGAUACCCUGGUAGUCCACACCGUAAACGAUGGAAGCUAGCCGUUGGAUAGUAUACUAUUCAGUGGCGCAGUUAACGCAUUAAGCUUCCCGCCUGGGGAGU